rnacentral:lncRNA from 1 species
ACUUCCGGCUUCCCUGCUCCCACAAAAUGGUAGCCGCCGUGGGGGAUGUCCAGUUUUUUUUCCUCUUCCCAAGUACAGACGCAGAGCAGACUUGUCUUUCCGCUUAACCUCAACCUCGUGUGAUCUGCCAGUUUCGCUCCCGACGCCAAAUUCCAGCGAAACAGCUGAUGCCAGCCAGCUUGAAGACCCCUGCCACAGAAGAAGGGAAUCAGCAUGAGAAUACAGCUUCUUCAUCUCGCUGUCCCAUGACUUCGCCCUGUACUCUUCAGCCAAUUAAUGAUCUCCACACUUGGGACCACUCUAAAACCCUUAAGAACCUGAGACUCAAAGUCCUCCUGGAGACGAAUUUGAGGUUUCCUCCUAUCUGUGUUUGGUGGCCCUAUGAUUAAACCUCUUUCUCUUCUGCAACCUGGUGUCCCAGUGUAUUAACUUGCCAUGGGCAUCAGACAACAAACCUAUAUAUAGUAUCCCAAAUAUGGUGCUCCACUUUGAAACCUGAAGAAAUCCUGCAAUUGAGUUAGCCUUUUGAAAUAAAAAUUAUUUCAAAUUU